CCUGAUUCAGCGGCGGACGGGUGAGUAAUGCCUAGGAAUCUGCCCGAUAGUGGGGGACAACGUUUCGAAAGGAACGCUAAUACCGCAUACGUCCUACGGGAGAAAGUGGGGGAUCUUCGGACCUCACGCUAUCGGAUGAGCCUAGGUCGGAUUAGCUAGUUGGUGAGGUAAUGGCUCACCAAGGCGACGAUCCGUAACUGGUCUGAGAGGAUGAUCAGUCACACUGGAACUGAGACACGGUCCAGACUCCUACGGGAGGCAGCAGUGGGGAAUAUUGGACAAUGGGCGAAAGCCUGAUCCAGCCAUGCCGCGUGUGUGAAGAAGGUCUUCGGAUUGUAAAGCACUUUAAGUUGGGAGGAAGGGCAGUAAGCUAAUACCUUGCUGUUUUGACGUUACCAACAGAAUAAGCACCGGCUAACUCUGUGCCAGCAGCCGCGGUAAUACAGAGGGUGCAAGCGUUAAUCGGAAUUACUGGGCGUAAAGCGCGCGUAGGUGGUUCAGCAAGUUGGAUGUGAAAUCCCCGGGCUCAACCUGGGAACUGCAUCCAAAACUACUGAGCUAGAGUACGGUAGAGGGUGGUGGAAUUUCCUGUGUAGCGGU
rnacentral:rRNA from 1 species